GUGCUCACUUUGGCAGCACAUAUACUGAAAUUUAAAUGAUACAGAGAAGAUUAGCAUGGCCCCUGCGCAAGGACGACAUGCAAAUUCAUGAAGCGUUCCAUUUAAAA
rnacentral:snRNA from 1 species